rnacentral:rRNA from 1 species
CCUACGGGUGACAGCAGUGGGGAAUAUUGCACAAUGGGGGAAACCCUGAUGCAGCGACGCCGCGUGAAGGAAGAAGUAUUUCUGUAUGUAAACUUCUAUCAGCAGGGAAGAAAAUGACGGUACCUGACUAAGAAGCCCCGGCUAACUACGUGCCAGCAGCCGCGGUAAUAAGUAGGGGGCAAGCGUUAUCCGGAUUUACUGGGUGUAAAGGGAGCGUAGGCGGUUUAGCAAGUCAGAAGUGAAAGCCCGGGGCUAAACUCCGGGACUGCUUUUGAAACUGUUGAACUAGAGUGCAGGAGAGGUAGGUGGAAUUCCUGGUGUAGCGGUGAAAUGCGUAGAUAUCAGGAGGAACACCCAUUGCGAAGGCGGCCUACUGGACUGUAACUGACGCUGAGGCUCGAAAGCGUGGGGAGCAAACAGGAUUAGAUACCCGAGUAGUC